UCGCCGUUCAUCAUGCGUGAGCAUGUUUUUGACUCAAAUCAAAGCGUGCUUAUGUGAGUCAUGGAGCCAAACCCUAAACAAUUGUUUUGAAGCUCGAAAGGAGUGUUGAAAAGACGACUGCAUCUAUCGGCACUCCGGUUCAAAAGGCAAGCAGCUCCUCUGCGCCGCUGUAAAACACACGGUUACGCGUCGUGCAGGCGCCAUGAGAGAAAUGUUGUUUGGCGUUUGACUGGGCGGCGCCUCAAGUCGGGAACGGAGAGCACAUUGAAACAAAACUAUUUCCACUUCCUGUUUAAAGUCACACAAGGCACAGUGAGGGAGAGCCGAGCAAGCCAACGAGAGAGCGAGAGAGAGCCCAGUGGUUCAGACAGAUGUGCCACUCUUGCGUAAGAUGCUUUCAAUGGAUGUCACCAUAGCAGCCAACGGACAAUUUAUGUACAAGAUGAACCUGGCUUUGGUGUCUUGCUUGUCUUUGACGACAAGCGAGGGAUGACUGUCGAUUGUUCAAGGGACUUCCCGCAGGCCUCACACAAUGGCCCGGAGGAGAUACUCGGACUCUUAUAUACACUGCUGUUUAUAUCACACACAUGCGCGAGCACACGCACGCUUCCUUAAUGAAGAAAGCAAGCUGGAAUUCAGGAAGGUCCAUUUUUGGCAGCAAGAGAACAGAGGUGGCAGGCCGUUGUCCAGUAUUGUGUAUGCGCAGGAAGGGUGUCGCGCGGAUGUCGAGGCAUUGGAUCAUUGUUGUCUCCUGUCGCUCAAAUUCUGCCUCAUAUGUGCUCCUCUUAUGCAACGCGCCCGGCGUCCCAUCCGUUUUGGUCUACACGUGGCCAGCCGCCAAGCGGCGACCCGUCUGUUGUCUCAAUCCGCUCGGACAUUGAUCGGUGACCAGCGCAGGCAUCGUUAAACUGAUGGGACAUUGUGAUUUUCCAGGAAUGUUUUAGAAGUCAUCAUUGGAAAAUGGAAAUAUCGGCAGACACUUGGGUCGCAAGUUGGCAUUUUCGGUGAUUGUCAGUGAGGUCAUUAACAUGGUGGCCCUUUGCUCUCAACAAUAGCCAAGCGGGAGCUCGCAGUUUGUGCGCCAUCGGCUGGCAACCGGUCCACCUCUCGGCCAAAUUCACACGGGAUGGACCCGACAUGUAUGGAAAAAUCGGCUGUUCUUGGUGAUGGCGUUCGUGAAUGGCGGCAAUCUGAUGUUCCAGAGCUGGCGCUCGGAGAUACAAUCUCCUGAUCUGAUCUGCCUACACCCCUCCAUGAGUUAACCUAACAACCCGUGGACCGGCUGUAGCCUCCCUCGUCGAUUUUCUGACAUCUGCAUGUCAACGAACCCACCGGGGCAGACGUAGGAGCGCUGCAGCCGCUGCCACUGCCGUUGCCACCGCCGUUGCCACCGUCGUUGCCACCGCCGUUGUCACCCCCGUUGCCACCGCCGUUGCCACCGCCGUUGCUGCCACAAGCCAUUGCUCCAGCCGGAAGCUUGUUUUGGAUCUCGUUGUGUCCGCCAAGUGUCGAGCUCAUGCAUGACAUCAAGACUGGAUAAAACAAGCACCGGGUUCAGGACGGCGCCUGUCAUUGAUGGCUUUUUUUCACCAAUCAAAAGCGGCAAGUUCCCUCUUGCUGCUGGAUUCUUGGCACCUUUCGAGUUGUUUUUUGUGAGCGGCUGUGUUUUAACACACACACACGCACACACACCUUGACGUGUUAAUUCAUGGACACUGGAUUGAACGCCACUAACUGAUGCCAAAAACACCCUCCCUGCAGCCGUGAAGAGAAUCAAACAACAAAGCCUCUUUCCAACGCAAUGCCUCCCAACUUUUUGCCACCAUCGAGUAGAGUUGUCACAAGAACCGAUACUUCCGGUACCAGUUCGGUACCAACACGCAAAAAAUAUGUCGAUACUUGCUUCUCGGGGUACAGAAUAUUUAACUUUUCACUCAGCGAGCUGUGUCAAUUCUUGCCGGAACUGAAGGGGGCAGUAUACACAUACGAGCAGCACGGAGCAGCAGUCAACGGCGCUGAAGAAGAAGAAAACCUUCGGUCAUUCAUAACAAUGGAUUCAGCAAGUGGGAGUGGAAGUCCAACACGACAGCUUGUUGAGAAUUCAGGUCGCUCAAAGAGUUGUGUGUGGAAAUAUUUUGCAUUCGAGGCAGAUCCAACCAGAGCAAUUAUAGAUUUGUCUGUGACUAUCAUUGUUGUGCCACGUUACGUUGUAAAUAUGUUAACCCGAACAUGCCUAUGUGCCGUCAUUUCGGCAUAAGUCAGCUGGGCCGAUACGGUUACCAAACGUAUUUAAUGUCAAACACAUAGACAAAGUGCGCAGACAAAGGCUCAAAUAUGCAAAAUUACGUUUGGGCACAUGUUGAGGGUGUGCGCGCAAGCCUUUUGGCUAUAGCAGAUGGAUUAGUGAUUUUAAAAGUAUAGGUUCUGUUUUUUUGUUGUUUUUCCCGUGGUACCGAAUUAGUAUCGAGAAUCGUGAAAAAUCACAGGUAUUGUAACUACUGAAAUUCUGGUAUUGUGACAACCCUACCAUCGAGUUUUCAAGAAAAGGUCGGAAACACAUGCGGACAGUGAGAUGUUCAACAAGAAGUCGUCCGGUUCAGUCGGGUUUAGCAGCUCCAUCAGAUAUGUGCGUAAACUUGCAUGAACUCGAAGAACCUCGUGAACUCCAACCGAGGGGAAGUCCAAAUACAGGAGAAAUAAGUCUCCAACAUUCCAACGCAAAUCACCAAAGCAUCCCAGUCAACAGCAAUUCCGAUUUACUUUCUGAUUUACACUUUGAUUGAUUGCCCCCUGCUGAUACAACGUCAAAGGGCGAUGGCCUUGUUUGCAACGAGCAGCACACACAAGUAGACCAAAUUUGCACAUAUCGUCAGGGAAGUCACACAAGGAGCCGUUGCAAUGUUGAGCCAGAUGGUUCUCAACACGGAUGUAGAUGUGUUGUGUGUGCGUGAGCGCGCGUGCUGUUGAGAAGGCUUUGCUGUCAAAGUGUCAUCAGGAUGUCAUGGAAAAAUAUCUCUCCAAGAUCAACAGCAAACAGGAAACGUCCUCAAUUCAACUUGAUUGCUGCGUGCGUACGUGCGUGCGUGUGUGCGUGUACGUGGAAGGCGAUUUCCCAUACGCUGGCCUGCAUUUGCAUCAAGUGCUGGUUCCUGGUGGACCAAGCUAAGUGAGCCAUCCUCUCGUUGCUCGAAUGGUCCCUCUGUCAGCGAAUCAAAAAUCGCACGCUGGCUUCUUGGUUUUGUUCCGUAGUUUUCUGCAAUAUUCAUGUAGAGCAAAUUAACUAAUUUCCAAAAUGAAAUUCAGGGUAGCUGCUUUUGUUCAGAUCAUCUGAAAAUGCUGGCGGCGGUCGUGCGAUUUGCCAGCCUCUGGCGGUUACCGAUGCGCUUGAGUCGCUUCCUUGUGACUCUGACCGACGCAGCAGGUUCUUCCAACGGCUGCUUUUGUUCAGCUCGCUUUGCUGAUGCAGCAAUUGUCACCCCCGACAGCCGCCACUCAGAGUUUCUGACAUCACGCACACAUCGUAAACGCAUACUAUGAAGCGAUGAGUUAUGAACUUCACGUUUUCUUUUUCUCAUGGACCAGUAAGACAAGUGAAUGCCAUGCGUGCGUGGGGAAUGUGAGAAAGGUGAACUCUGAAACAGAUCUCGCCAUGAGUGUCAACUGAAUUUCUGUAAUAGUGUGCAACUAAUCACCUCGAAUGGAUUUGCCGAGCUUCUUAGGAAUGCUGGCUGAUCAAAUCAAACUCCAUUUCUUCGUAUGAGCAGUAUGUAAAAAACGAUUGUCUUUGCCGUGGAGCUGGACUCCAAAUCUUCUGGCUGAGUUCAAGUAGCAAUGUGUGGCCAUCAUAGGUUUUUAGCUAGCGCUUUUAAGGAGGAUGCAAUGGAAAAAACAGAAAGAGAUGUUUCCUCAGCAUGUGAGCGCGGCGGCCCCGCCUCUCCGCCUAGGGCUUGUCCAGGCGGCUGAAGGGCGGCAGUGGCAAUGUUGACAUUUUUCUUGCAAUCAACCAUCAAGUGCCGAGCGGCCACAUUCAGCAUCGACUCUGUCGUCUCUCAACACGUCAACUCUUAUCUCCUGUGCUCGAGUGCCCCUCCUUCUCCUCCUCCUCCCGCCACUGUCGCCUGGUAACCUGGGGGGCAUGCAUUCUACCGAAAACCGAUGCCAACUUUCACCGCCUAAUCGUGACACAAAGAAUAUUUUCGGCAUUGGCAGCACACGGUUGAAUUCCGCUUGACGAAUAUACACGUCCAUGGCAGUGAAUGAGUUAAAAGUAUUUCUUUUUCCAUCCCCACUGAUGUGCACUACUGCAUUGUUUUGUUUUUAAAUAUUCAAUAUUUUACUGUUUGUUGUUAUUGUAAAGUUCUGCUGUUUCUUCAGUCGGGCCUUUUGUUUGGCUCCACUGCAAGCAUGAAUUAAUAAAGUCAAAUCAAAAUUAUGGGUACGAA